GGAUGCGAUCAUAGCAGCACUAACGCUCUGGAUCUCAUCAGAACUCCGAAGUUAUGCGUGCUUGGGCGAGAGUAUUACUAGGAUGGGAGACCCCCUGGGAAGUCUUCGUGUUGUAUCCC